UACGUAGGGUGCAAGCGUUGUCCGGAAUUAUUGGGCGUAAAGAGCUCGUAGGCGGCUUGUCGCGUCGAAUGUGAAAACCUGCAGCUCAACUGCAGGCUUGCAUUCGAUACGGGCAGGCUCGAGUUCGGUAGGGGAGACUGGAAUUCCUGGUGUAGCGGUGAAAUGCGCAGAUAUCAGGAGGAACACCCGUGGCGAAGGCGGAUCUCUGGGCCUGUUCUGACGCUGAGGCGCGAAAGCUAGGGGAGCGAACAGG
rnacentral:rRNA from 1 species